GACGAACGCUGGCGGCGUGCUUAACACAUGCAAGUCGAGCGGAGCGGCGAACGGGGGAGUAACGCGUGAGUAACUUCCCCCCUCUCUGGGAUAACAGUUGGAAACGGCUGCUAAUACCGGCUAGUGGGGGAUGACUCGCGUCCGAUCAGCUUGUUGGGGGGGUAUUGGCCUACCAAGGCGACGACGGGUAGCCGGCAUGAGAGGGCGACCGGCCACAUUGGGCGCGGGUACGACCCAAAGUGCUACGGGAGGCAGCAGUGGGGAAUAUUGCCCAAUGGGGUAAACCCUGAUGAAGCAGCGCCGCGUGCGGGAGGACGGCCUUCGGGUUGUAAACCGCUUUCAGCCAUGACGCGGUAGUGGCAGAAGAAGCACCGGCUAACUACGUGCCAGCAGCCGCGGUAAUAC
rnacentral:rRNA from 1 species